rnacentral:rRNA from 3 species
AUUGACCUCGGAUCAGGUAGGGAUACCCGCUGAACUUAAGCAUAUCAAUAAGCGGAGGAAAAGAAACCAACAGGGAUUGCCUCAGUAACGGCGAGUGAAGCGGCAACAGCUCAAAUUUGAAAUCUGGCUCCUUCGGGGUCCGAGUUGUAAUUUGUAGAGAGUGUUUCGGAGGAGACCGCGGUCUAAGUCCAUUGGAACAUGGUGUCAUAGAGGGUGAGAAUCCCGUAUGUGACCGUGGAUCGAACCCAUGUGAAGCCUCUUCGACGAGUCGAGUUGUUUGGGAAUGCAGCUCAAAAUGGGUGGUAAAUUUCAUCUAAAGCUAAAUACUGGCUGGAGACCGAUAGCGCACAAGUAGAGUGAUCGAAAGAUGAAAAGCACUUUGGAAAGAGAGUUAAACAGUACGUGAAAUUGUUGAAA